GGGGGGGGGGCGACAAAUUUCAUGAAAAAACGUCUCAUUGUUAAUAUUGGCGUUAGGAAAGUUAGGUGUCCACAUAAUUUUUGCCAGGAUUGUAGCUCAAUAUGCUAUAAAUGGGUUUCAAUUAGUUGUUCUCUAUGGAGAUAGAUGUAAUCAGCUUCAAAUGCAUUGACAUGCACGUAUCACUUAUGGGUGGGAUUAGGCCAGCAUUUGUUGAAUAUUAGUUUCUCACCUGACGCCCGCGUGCCUUUCAACUUCAUAUCCAAGGCAAAUGUAUAAUUUCCCACGAUUAAACCUGGUUUACACUACCAAAGUUUCUGCGAUCAUAGUAGGAAUUUUGUGUCGGUAAUUAAAAGAUUGGGAGGAAAUGUUUGAGGGAACUAGCUCAGUGUUUAACACCGAGUUAGUUCCCUCAAACUUUUCUUACAAAUUCUUCGAAACUUAGAAUUUACCUAUGUAAAAUUCCUACUGUGAUCACAGAAACUUUGAUAGUGUAAACCAGGGGUGUAGAACAGGGGUGUUCAACCCCCUUGUUAGAAGCUCAAGGAGGGGAGGGGGUGAGCCACCUUGUCGAAAAUUUCAUGCCGGUUUGGGGGACUGACCUCCCAAUAUUUUUGCGGAUUGCAUAUUUAUAACCUGGAAAAUUCUUUGCAAAUGUAGUGUUGAAAUGAUGCGGUAAUUAUGUUAGUAAUUUGUACUUGAUUACUAUGAUCAUACUAUCAGGUCAUGUAUAUGGCUACAACUUGAAAUAGCUGCGGUAUAUCAGAAUCUUUUAUUGGAAGUUAAGUCCAUUUGAAGUUAAGAGCCCCCUUGUUAUCGUUUCAGUUCUACACCACUGUUCUACAGUCGUGUAGUUCAGUUCAGUUCCACAGCAAAGUCUGGUUCAUAAAUCUGAUUUAUAAACCGUUCAGUUCUACACCAAAGCUUGAUUUAUAAAUCAGGCUUUAUAAUUUCUUUAUACUGUAGUUUCGGCAACAAUUUUUUUUAUUGUCUCAUUGGAAAGAACCUUUAAAAUCAUCUUCAAAAUCCUCUUAAAGAUUUUUCAUGUCUUGCGUGAUUCUUGCUAUUUCGGACUGGAUAAAAACAUUUUAAUUAAUUAAACAACUUUUGAAGUAAUUUUAUAAAGCUAUACGCCACUCUUGACGUCAUCAAAACGAUAAUUAUCCAAGAUGGCGGACAGCUCAUUGCUUUAAUAUUCAAGAGUUAGCUUGAUACGAAAAUUCUGUAAGAAGAUUUUGUAGAUAAUUUUAAACCUUCUUUCAAAUGAAACAACAAAACAUUUUCUUGCCAUUGUUUAUUAAUUAAACACUUUCUAGAGUAGAACCCACCCAGUAUAUGCAUGCAUGCUAUCAAUAGGAAAUUUAUUAAAACAAACUGGAUGUAUACUUAUUUGUAAUCUAUAUUUAUGUAUGGUGUAAAUAUAUACCCCUGUGGGACAAAUAUAUACUCGCUCAACA
rnacentral:lncRNA from 1 species